GACGAACGCUGGCGGCGUGCUUAACACAUGCAAGUCGAACGAAAAGGCCCUGCUUUUGUGGGGUGCUCGAGUGGCGAACGGGUGAGUAACACGUGAGUAACCUGACCUUGACUUUGGGAUAACUUCUGGAAACUGGGGCUAAUACCGGAUAGGAGCUUUUGCUGCAUGGUGGGGGUCGGAAAGUUUCGGCGGUUGGGGAUGGACUCGCGGCUUAUCAGCUUGUUGGUGGGGUAGUGGCUUACCAAGGCUUUGACGGGUAGCCGGCCUGAGAGGGUGACCGGCCACAUUGGGACUGAGAUACGGCCCAGACUCCUACGGGAGGCAGCAGUGGGGAAUAUUGCACAAUGGGCGGAAGCCUGAUGCAGCAACGCCGCGUGCGGGAUGACGGCCUUCGGGUUGUAAACCGCUUUCGCCUGUGACGAAGCGUGAGUGACGGUAAUGGGUAAAGAAGCACCGGCUAACUACGUG
rnacentral:rRNA from 1 species